rnacentral:rRNA from 1 species
GAUGAACGCAGGCGGCGUGCCUAAUACAUGCAAGUCGAGCGAACGGACGAGAAGCUUGCUUCUCUGAUGUUAGCGGCGGACGGGUGAGUAACACGUGGAUAACCUACCUAUAAGACUGGGAUAACUUCGGGAAACCGGAGCUAAUACCGGAUAAUAUUUUGAACCGCAUGGUUCAAAAGUGAAAGACGGUCUUGCUGUCACUUAUAGAUGGAUCCGCGCUGCAUUAGCUAGUUGGUAAGGUAACGGCUUACCAAGGCAACGAUGCAUAGCCGACCUGAGAGGGUGAUCGGCCACACUGGAACUGAGACACGGUCCAGACUCCUACGGGAGGCAGCAGUAGGGAAUCUUCCGCAAUGGGCGAAAGCCUGACGGAGCAACGCCGCGUGAGUGAUGAAGGUCUUCGGAUCGUAAAACUCUGUUAUUAGGGAAGAACAUAUGUGUAAGUAACUGUGCACAUCUUGACGGUACCUAAUCAGAAAGCCACGGCUAACUACGUGCCAGCAGCCGCGGUAAUACGUANGUGGCAGCGUUAUCCGGAUUAUUGGGCGUAAGCGCGCGUAGGCGGUUUUUUAGUCUGAUGUGAAAGCCCACGGCUCAACCGUGGAGGGUCAUUGGAAACUGGAAAACUUGAGUGCAGAAGAGGAAAGUGGAAUUCCAUGUGUAGCGGUGAAAUGCGCAGAGAUAUGGAGGAACACCAGUGGCGAAGGCGACUUUCUGGUCUGUAACUGACGCUGAUGUGCGAAAGCGUGGGGAUCAAACAGGAUUAGAUACCCUGGUAGUCCACGCCGUAAACGAUGAGUGCUAAGUGUUAGGGGGUUUCCGCCCCUUAGUGCUGCAGCUAACGCAUUAAGCACUCCGCCUGGGGAGUACGACCGCAAGGUUGAAACUCAAAGGAAUUGACGGGGACCCGCACAAGCGGUGGAGCAUGUGGUUUAAUUCGAAGCAACGCGAAGAACCUUACCAAAUCUUGACAUCCUUUGACAACUCUAGAGAUAGAGCCUUCCCCUUCGGGGGACAAAGUGACAGGUGGUGCAUGGUUGUCGUCAGCUCGUGUCGUGAGAUGUUGGGUUAAGUCCCGCAACGAGCGCAACCCUUAAGCUUAGUUGCCAUCAUUAAGUUGGGCACUCUAAGUUGACUGCCGGUGACAAACCGGAGGAAGGUGGGGAUGACGUCAAAUCAUCAUGCCCCUUAUGAUUUGGGCUACACACGUGCUACAAUGGACAAUACAAAGGGCAGCGAAACCGCGAGGUCAAGCAAAUCCCAUAAAGUUGUUCUCAGUUCGGAUUGUAGUCUGCAACUCGACUACAUGAAGCUGGAAUCGCUAGUAAUCGUAGAUCAGCAUGCUACGGUGAAUACGUUCCCGGGUCU